rnacentral:ncRNA from 1 species
GCAGGCUGCAACUCGCCUGCAUGAAGUCGGAAUUGCUAGUAAUCGCGGAUCAGCAUGCCGCGGUGAAUACGUUCCCGGGUCUUGUACACACCGCCCGUCACACCACGAGAGUUUGCAACACCCGAAGUCGGUGAGGCAACCCGUCCAGGGAGCCAGCCGCCGAAGGUGGGGCAGAUGAUUGGGGUGAAGUCGUAACAAGGUAGCCGUAUCGGAAGGUGCGGCUGGAUCACCUCCUUU